AUGAAGACCUGUAUGAAUGGCAUAACGAGGGCUUAACUGUCUCCUUUUUCUAGUCAAUGAAAUUGAUCUCCCCGUGCAGAAGCGGGGAUAAUAACAUAAGACGAGAAGACCCUGUGGAGCUUUAGAUUCCAGAACAGUCCGUGUCAAAUUUAACUCUAUUAAGAGAAUGAACUAAUCGGCUUCUGUUCCUAUAUC
rnacentral:rRNA from 1 species